rnacentral:rRNA from 1 species
GAUGAACGCUGGCGGCGUGCCUAAUACAUGCAAGUCGAGCGAACGGACGAGAAGCUUGCUUCUCUGAUGUUAGCGGCGGACGGGUGAGUAACACGUGGAUAACCUACCUAUAAGACCGGGAUAACUUCGGGAAACCGUAGCUAAUACCGGAUAAUAUUUUGAACCGCAUGGUUCAAAAGUGAAAGACGGUCUUGCUGUCACUUAUAGAUGGAUCCGCGCUGCAUUAGCUAGUUGGUAAGGUAACGGCUUACCAAGGCAACGAUGCAUAGCCGACCUGAGAGGGUGAUCGGCCACACUGGAACUGAGACACGGUCCAGACUCCUACGGGAGGCAGCAGUAGGGAAUCUUCCGCAAUGGGCGAAAGCCUGACGGAGCAACGCCGCGUGAGUGAUGAAGGUCUUCGGAUCGUAAAACUCUGUUAUUAGGGAAGAACAUAUGUGUAAGUAACUGUGCACAUCUUGACGGUACCUAAUCAGAAAGCCACGGCUAACUACGUG